rnacentral:misc_RNA from 1 species
GAUGAAGAACGUAGCGAAAUGCGAUAAGUAAUGUGAAUUGCAGAAUUCCGUGAAUCAUCGAAUCUUUGAACGCACAUUGCGCCCCCUGGUAUUCCGGGGGGCAUGCCUGUCCGAGCGUCAUUGCAACCUUCAAGCGCGGCUUGUGUGUUGGGUCUCGUCCCCCGUGGACGGGCCCGAAAGGCAGUGGCGGCGUCUCGACAUGGUGCCCGAGCGUAUGGGAAUCCUCUUCCGCUCGAAUCGGCCCAUGCGGCGCUGGUCGUAACCAAAUUUUUUACCGGUUGACCUCGGAUCAGGUAGGGAUACCCGCUGAACUUAAGCAUAUCAAUAAGCGGAGGA